rnacentral:rRNA from 1 species
CCUACGGGAGGCAGCAGUGGGGAAUAUUGCACAAUGGGGGAAACCCUGAUGCAGCGACGCCGCGUGAGUGAAGAAGUAAUUCGGUAUGUAAAGCUCUAUCAGCAGGGAAGAAAAUGACGGUACCUGAGUAAGAAGCCCCGGCUAACUACGUGCCAGCAGCCGCGGUAAUACGUAGGGGGCAAGCGUUAUCCGGAUUUACUGGGUGUAAAGGGAGCGUAGACGGGAGUGCAAGUCUGGAGUGAAAGGCGGGGGCUCAACCCCCGGACUGCUCUGGAAACUGUACGGCUGGAGUGCAGGAGAGGUAAGUGGAAUUCCUAGUGUAGCGGUGAAAUGCGUAGAUAUUAGGAGGAACACCAGUGGCGAAGGCGGCUUACUGGACUGUAACUGACGUUGAGGCUCGAAAGCGUGGGGAGCAAACAGGAUUAGAUACCCCUGUAGUC